UGCUAUUAGACUUGAGACCGGGAGAGGUUAGAGGUACUCCCAGGGUAGAGGUGAAAUUCUGUAAUCCUGGGAGGACCGCCUGUUGCGAAGGCGUCUAACUGGAACGGUUCUGACGGUGAGGGACGAAAGUUAGGGGCGCGAACCGGAUUAGAUACCCGGGUAGUCCUAACUGUAAACGAUGCGGACUUGGUGUUGGGUGGCUUUGAGCUGCUCCAGUGCCGAAGGGAAGCUGUUAAGUCCGCCGCCUGGGAAGUACGGUCGCAAGACUGAAACUUAAGGAAUUGGCGGGGGAGCACCACAACGCGUGGAGCCUGCCGGUUUAAUUGGAUUCAACGCCGGACAUCUCACCAGAGGCGACAGCUGUAUGAUAGCCAGGUUGAUGACUUUGCUUGACUAGCUGAGUAGAGGUGCAUGG
rnacentral:rRNA from 1 species